UCUCUGUGUUCUUUAUUCUGCAGGUGUUUGCCAUAAUCAGCGCAGUUCUUCACGGCCUGCACGCUGUCUUCGUCUACUUAAAAAGGAAAAAGUGAUUUCACGUCUGAGGCGAUCAACAUGUUCAAUUUCUACACACUGCCUCUUCACUUGAAGUUUGUGGUCACGUAUAGACAUUGGAAUACCGCACACCCGGAGAGUUCUGCUGUACGACUGCAAGAUAACCGGCAACGACAAUAUGGUGAAGCUGGAGGCUUUACCUGUGUAUCUGAGUGCUACAUAUGGAAUAAAGAGCAUAUUGCAGUUGUUCGUCCAAUCAG
rnacentral:lncRNA from 1 species